rnacentral:rRNA from 2 species
UACGUAGGUGGCAAGCGUUGUCCGGAUUUAUUGGGUUUAAAGGGUGCGUAGGUGGUCUAUUAAGUCAGUGCUGAAAUAUCCCGGCUUAACCGGGAGGGUGGCAUUGAUACUGAUGGACUUGAAUGGAGUCGAGGUAGGCGGAAUUGACGGUGUAGCGGUGAAAUGCUUAGAUAUCGUCAAGAACACCGAUAGUGUAGACAGCUUACUAGGCUCUAAUUGACACUGAGGCACGAAAGUGUGGGGAUCAAACAGG